rnacentral:rRNA from 1 species
UACGUAGGGAGCGAGCGUUGUCCGGAAUCAUUGGGCGUAAAGCGCGCGUAGGCGGCCCGAUAAGUCCGCUGUAAAAGUCAACGGCUCAACUGUUGAAAGCCGGUGGAUACUGUCGGGCUAGAGUACGGAAGAGGCAAGUGGAAUUCCUGGUGUAGCGGUGGAAUGCGCAGAUAUCAGGAGGAACAUCUGUGGCGAAGGCGACACCCUGGACCAGCACUGACACUGAGGCACGAAAGCGUGGGGAGCAAACAGG